CGGGGUGUAGCGCAGUCUGGUAGCGCGCGCGGUUCGGGACCGUGAGGCCCCCGGUUCAAAUCCGGGCACCCCGA
rnacentral:tRNA from 4 species